rnacentral:rRNA from 1 species
UCUUAACUGGGCGACCAGUCGCAGGGUAUAGACCCGAAACCGGGCGAUCUAUCCAUGGCCAGGGUGAAGAUUGAGUAACAUCAAUUGGAGGCCCGAACCCAAGUAUGUUGAAAAAUGCUGGGAUGAGCUGUGGAUCGGAGUGAAAGGCUAAUCAAGCCCGGAGAUAGCUGGUUCUCCUCGAAAGCUAUUUAGGUAGCGCCUCACGUAUCACCGCUGGGGGUAGAGCACUGUUUCGGCUAGGGGGUCAUCCCGACUUACCAACCCGAGGCAAACUCCGAAUACCAGUGAGUGCAGCGUGGGAGACACACAGCGGGUGCUAACGUCCGUUGUGAAAAGGGAAACAACCCAGACCGUCAGCUAAGGUCCCAAAAUCCUGAUUAAGUGGGAAACGAUGUGGGAAGGCUCAGACAGCUAGGAGGUUGGCUUAGAAGCAGCCAUCCUUUAAAGAAAGCGUAAUAGCUCACUAGUCGAGUCGGCCUGCGCGGAAGAUAUAACGGGGCUAAAUCAGGUACCGAAGCUACGGGUUCAUCCUUAUGGAUGAGCGGUAGAGGAGCGUCGUGUAAGCCAAUGAAGGUGGAUUGAGAAGUCUGCUGGAGGUAUCACGAGUGCGAAUGCUGACAUGAGUAACGAUAAGGGGAGUGAAAAACUCCCCCGCCGGAAGACCAAGGUUUUCUGUUCUACGUUAAUCGGAGCAGAGUGAGUCGGCCCCUAAGGCGAGGCGGAAACGCGUAGUCGAUGGGAAACGGGUUAAUAUUCCCGUACCGGAUGUGGUUGCGAUGGGGGGACGAAGAAGGCUAGGUGAGCCAGGCGUUGGUUGUCCUGGUGAAAGCAUGUAGGCCGAGGAAUCAGGCAAAUCCGGUUCCUCUGAGGUCGAGAUGCGAGACGAACUGACCACGGUCAGGAAGUCAUCGAUGCCACGCUUCCAGGAAAAGCCUCUAAGCUUCAGAUCACAUGCGACCGUACCCCAAACCGUCCUACCGGUCGAAGAUACCAGGUGGCUGCAACUGUUUAUUAAAAACACAGCACUCUGCAAACGCGCAAGCGGACGUAUAGGGUGUGACGCCUGCCCGGUGCCGGAAGGUUAAUUGAUGGGGUUAGCUCACGCGAAGCUCUUGAUCGAAGCCCCGGUAAACGGCGGCCGUAACUAUAACGGUCCUAAGGUAGCGAAAUUCCUUGUCGGGUAAGUUCCGACCUGCACGAAUGGCGUAAUGAUGGCCACGCUG